ACUCCUACGGGAGGCAGCAGUGGGGAAUAUUGCACAAUGGGCGCAAGCCUGAUGCAGCAACGCCGCGUGAGCGAUGAAGGCCUUCGGGUCGUAAAGCUCUGUCCUCAAGGAAGAAUAAAUGACGGUACUUGAGGAGGAAGCCCGGCUAACUACGUGCCAGCAGCCGCGGUAAUACGUAGGGGGCAAGCGUUAUCCGGAAUCACUGGGCGUAAAGGGUGCGUAGGCGGUUUUCAAGUCAGAAGUGAAAGGCUAUGGCUCAACCAUAGUAAGCUUUUGAAACUGUUAAACUUGAGUGCAGGAGAGGAAAGUGGAAUUCCUAGUGUAGAGGUGAAAUUCGUAGAUAUUAGGAGGAACACCAGUGGCGAAGGCGACUUUCUGGACUGUAACUGACGCUGAGGCACGAAAGCGUGGGGAGCGAACAGGAUUAGAUACCCUGGUAGCACAGAG
rnacentral:rRNA from 1 species